UGGUGAGUUGGUUUGUUCCGAGCUUUGAUUUUGUGGAUUUGAAUCUCUAUUUCCAUCUUGAAUUGGAUGAAAAAUUUUGGAUGUUUUGAUGAAGAUUUUGGUUGUGAUCAUAAGUACUCGAAGUUUUUAUUAUUACUAUUAUUAUUAUGUGGUUGUUCAAUGAAUUUAAUUUGAUCGAGGCUGUGUUAAUUCAAAGGUUUGGACUUCUGUUUUAAUUUGGUUUACUAUUUUGUGUCCUUUUUUUUCUUUUAGUAAUCUCUGUUUGGUUAGUGAGAAAAUGGACGAAAGGAAAUGAAAAACAAAAAAAAAAAAGAAGAAGAAGAAAAAAAAAUCAGCUGAGCAUAAGAGUCGUAUUAGAAUUUUUUGUAAAGGUUCAAAUUCUUAAAUAAUGAAAAACAUAAUAAAUAUUUUUUGUGUUUAAUUUCCUAUCUUUUUCCUGCAUUUUCUCACGUAUUUUGUGCUAUUUUACUUCCUUUUCUGGUCAAGUGACCCUGGGCGCCGAACUUUUGGUCUUGUUCAACAGAUAACACAUGUGAUGAGAAAAAUACAAAACUCAUAACCUUUGGAGAGUUGAUAAUUAUUAUAAAAUCUUAUGAGAGGAAUUCAUGAAUUGUUAAAUCUGUAUUUUGGCUAUUGUCAAAAGCUGUUAGUGCAUUAGGACAGUGCAGGAGUUAUUUGAUUGUGAUCAUGUUAACCAAUAUUUGCUACAUCCAUGCAGGAGUUACGAUUAGCUUUAUCCUUGCUGGAGCAUCAUGUGUACUGAAUGCACUAUGUUAUGCUGAGCUAGCAUCCCGAUUUCCUGCUGUUGUUGGGGGAGCAUACCUGUAUACUUACACAGCUUUCAAUGAGCUGACUGCUUUCCUUGUUUUUGCACAAUUGAUGCUUGACUAUCAUAUUGGGGCAGCUAGCAUAGCUCGAAGUUUAGCCAGCUAUGUGGUUGCGGUACUAGAGCUUUUUCCCUUUUUCAAGGAAAACAUUCCAAGCUGGAUUGGACAUGGUGGUGAAGAGUUCCUUGGUGGAGCUCUGUCUAUCAACAUAUUAGCACCAAUUCUGCUUGUACUUCUAACAAUAAUUCUAUGCCGAGGUGUUGGAGAAUCUUCUGCUGUGAACUGUUUCAUGACUGUGACAAAGGUGCCCUUUCUAUGCUGCAUUUCUUGUAUGUGGCUGCUGGCCAAGGGUUUAAGCAUCCUCCUCUUUGAUUUAUUGCAAAUUCUGGAAUGAUUAAGGUUUUGAAGGGUGUUUCUUUAGGUGUGUCUUAUGCUUUUCCUCUAUGCAAGGCUGUCCUAAACAAUCAUAGGAUGAAAAACAACUUUUGCUCCCUUAAGUGUAUUGGGACAUUAUGAUGGAGAAAGAGCAAUCAGUGCAGUGUAAAAUGUAUUCUUAAUGGGUUUGGAGAGGUUAUGAUGGAGAAAGAGCAAUCAGUGCAGUGUAAAAUGCAUGCUUAAUGGUUUGAGCAUGUUCAACCCACAUCUAGGCAUACAUGUUUGACACCUUAACUUCUGAUGUGCAUACUCGGGUGGGAAGAUACCUUCUUUUAUAGAAAUUUCUUUCUUUUUGCUUUUCAAAGAAAUUACUGUGUUAACAAAGAUUAAAAUACUAAAUCUACAAAAAUUGAAAUAGGAAGUCUAUUUAAGUUGAUAAGUACUAAAUGUGUUAACAAAGAUUAAGACAGUAAAUCUCACCAAUUACUGUUAAUAAACCAAAUUCUGGCUGUUGUUCCAUGUCAUAACAUCAAGUUCAAUGUAGUAAAGGACAACGUGUGGUUUCCUCCUUUCUGUUUGUUGAAAGGGUGUUUGAUUUUUAUUCAAUCUCUUUUCCUGUUAUAUCUGCUGUUUUCAUUGGUUCACUUGUCAUAUGUACUAUACAGUCCUGGAUUUGUUUUCAUAUAUGCAUGUUAUGCUCCAUGUGUUUGUAGAAAACUUUCACUCUGUAAACAAUCAUUAAUUAUAAAAUCUAAUAAGUUAAAAAUCUUGUAUGUCUCGAGGCCUCAUACUUAAUAGGUGAGAACAGUUCCUUGCACUUCCAUUUUUAACAAUAUAUGGCUGACUUUUCAUUGGGAAUCCCUAGAGCUUAAUCAUGAAUCUUUCCUUCACCUAACUUGUCAACAGCAACUUAUCAUCUAUUUGGUUUGGCUGCAUGAAUCCUGGUUCACCAAUUUGGCCUGCCAGAAGUUCUAUAUUCAAUUAUGGAAUGAGACUUAAAACCAAUGAAGCUCAGUUAAAAGAAAAAAAUUUAAAAAAUUGAAAAAAAAAUUCCUAUUUUACUAAAUUUUUAGACAUUGAAUGAUGUGGGAAUAAGGUGGAUAGGCAGUUUUUUUCCAAGUACCUCACAUUAUUUACUCCAGGCUUCAACAUCAUUAUCCUGCUGGAUCUGGAUCACUGUUCUAUGUUGAUAAAUGCUUCUUUGCUGAUGCAAACACAUUUUUUCCACAGGUCCAGUGUGAGUUUUCUCACUAGUUUGUAGAAUGGCCCUUAGCUAGUGAAGGAUUCUCCAUUAGCCAAACAAACUGUUCAAAUUUUAAUGAAUUUUUUCUAUGAGAAUGCUCUGCUUUUUGCUCAUCUAUGACAUAUGUCAGCAUCCAUCUGUGGUUCUACAAAUUUUAUGAAUGUGCUGUUUCUUUUAUUUUCUCAUGUUAUGUUCCAUGAAGCAUGAUAGCUAAUGUAUUAUAAUUCUUUUUUGUUUGUUUGCAAUUAAUAGCUUUAUUACUAUUUGACAUGCAGAUGCAUUGAUCUCUUUGGAACUAUAUAUGAAUAAGUGCACGCAUGGUACAUUUCAAUAUGUCAAAUCUUCUUUCGGUUUACAAGAGAAUUAAAACUAGUUUUUCUACAAGACCAGUAUCUUUUUAUUGACUGAUUGGCUCAGAUGAAUGGUUUUUAUUUGUGUCACCUGCAUCUAUAAGGCAUCGGGCUAAAGGAUUCCCUACACUUUUCAUAUUAUGGUAUUUCUAAUGCUCUUAAUAUACACCAGUGAUCUUUAUUUGUAUCUAGCAUUUAUGUCCAUGUCAAGGACAUAAAAUCUAUACAAAAUACAAAUGUUAACUUGCUUUCAUUUUAGUUUGACUGACACCCACUUUCCUGCAGGUAGUUAUCGUUCUCUUUGUGAUCAUUGUUGGUGCUUUUAAGGUUGAUGUUUCUAACUGGUCUCCUUUUGCUCCAAAUGGUUUUGAAGCAAUAUUGACUGGUGCAACUGUAGUAUUCUUCGCAUAUGUUGGAUUUGAUGCAGUUGCUAAUUCAGCUGAAGAAUCUAAAAGACCACAGGUAUUUCUUGCUGAUAUUGGAUGGAUUCCUUGUAUUACACGUCACCAGAGUUGAUUAGAAGGUUUCCUUUGUGAAAUCCUUUUGCAUUAUUAUGUUUUUUAAUCCUUCAUUUAUUUUCUCAACAUGACUUUGCAGAGGGAUUUGCCAAUAGCCAUCAUGGGGAGCCUUCUUGUUUGUGUCGUGUUAUAUAUUGGUGUUUGCUUAGUAAUCACUGGAAUGGUACCUUACAAGCUCCUUGGGGAGGAUGCUCCUUUGGCUGAAGCUUUUACAUCCAAAGGCCUGAAGUAUGUUUCCAUUUUGAUCAGCAUAGGUGCUGUUGCUGGACUUACUACAACCCUUCUAGUUGGUCUAUAUGUUCAGGUAAAUAUUGAAACUCCCAUGUACUUUACAUGUGCCAAUGUACUAAUGACAGUGUUUCUUAUGAACAGUCUCGGUUGUAUCUUGGGCUUGGAAGGGAUGGUUUAUUACCUUCAUUAUUUGCUAGAGUACACCCAAAAGCCCAUACCCCUGUUCAUUCUCAGAUCUGGGUUGGUAUUGUCGCUAGCAUCUUGGCAGGAUUAUUUAACAUCCAUGCCCUCUCACACAUUCUUUCAGUUGGCUCAUUGGUAUGCUGGUGCUUAACUUCUGUCUAUAACAUUUUGAAAUUUUUAAUAAUCAGUUAUCUAUCUUUUGCAAUAACAUCCUUGGGUUCAUGCAAUUAUCAAUCGCAUCAUGUGUUCUCUUCCCUUGGGUUUAGAGGAAAGAAGGAAUUGGAAUGUUGACAUGCUGUGAUGGGCAAUUGUAAAAUUUUAGGAUAUUAAUUGGAGAGAUUUGCCUGCAACAGAAGCAUUCAAAUUCUUGAUUAUUUUGGUUAGGAAUGAGUGUGCACCUUACAUGACCAUUUGGUUGGUUUCAGACAGGCUAUUCUGUUGUUGCAGCAUGUGUUGUAACCCUUCGCUGGAAUGACAAGACAGCAAGUCAAGUUUCUACAAGGUGGACUUCAACCUGGCAAGAAGGUGUCAUUUACCUUAUCAUUAUUGCUGGUUGUGGUUUCAGUGCAGGACUCUUUUACCGUGUCGGUGCUUCAUUCUUUUGUCUGCUUGUAGCUGCAGUCAUAGCAGUACUUGCCUCUAUUGCUCUUUAUAGCAGACAAGUAAGUACUACGCCAGACAAUAUAUUAGAAUAUCUUUUUGUCUAUCUAUUAUAUAAACACUAGGCUAUCAUAGUGCUCCAAGCUGGAGGAAAAAAUUUCAUUUUAAAAGGAGCAUGCUGAAAGAUUUGGAGGUAUUUCAAAAACUCAAGUUGGUGGUGAUCAACAAAUGACUUGUCUCUUGAUAGUAAGGGUCUUAGUGAAAUUUAAAAAAAAUAAAAUAAAAUAAAAAUAAAAUCCCUUACAUAAUCUCACACAUUGACACAUAAGUAGAAAGGUUCUAAGGAAUCUUUUUUGAAUGCAAGACCUCCACUUUGAAGAUGAAUAGGGGAGGUCUUGCUUUUUUUUUUUUUUUUUUUCUUUUGUAUCUUUUAUUUAUCUCUUACUCACCUGUAGCAGUAGAAUAUGAAAUCUGCUCAAGAGUUACUUAUGCACCUGAACCCGUUUUAUGUCCUUGGUUUUUUUUUUUCCUUUGUUUCUUUUAUUUGCCUCUAACUCACCUGAAGCAAUAGAAAUAUGAAAUCUGUUCAUGAGGUACUUUUGCACCCAAACCCAUUGUAUGUCUAUCGCUAUCUCUUCUCCUAACACUUCAGGUAUCACAUUUAUUGAUGGGGUUUGCACUACCCAAGCAACAUCCAUGUUCAGGAAAAAUGCAGGCAGUGGUUUCCAGCAUGUUCCUCUGUUGCUCAUAUGAUCCAAAAAAGACCCGAUGCAUAAGUUUUGCCCGUAUUACACUUUUUUAUUGAUUAAUCCAUUCUUUUUUGCAGGUGUACAUGAAUCCACCAGGGUUUUCUUGCCCAGGAGUUCCAAUUGUGCCAGCAGUAUGCAUCUUCUUCAAUAUCUUCUUGUUUGCUCAGGUUUGUUCAAGAAGAAUCCCCUCAACUAUACUCCUAACAGUGGCCAUCCCUCAAUUCCAUAUAGAAACUUAUCAAAGGAAUGAAAUUAAUACAUCAAAGCUGAUAACCAACUCUUUUUCUUUGCAGUUACACUAUGAAGCAUGGGUGAGAUUUGUCAUCCUCAGCCUUAUUUCAAUAGGUAUUUAUGCAUUUUAUGGGCAGUACCAUGCCGACCCUCUGAGUUCAAAUGAGACAAUUAUCUAUCAUAGAGCACCAAUUGAAGAAGGGCAAUAAUAACUAUUUGCUGUGUCCAUGCGUAUCAUUGCUAUAUGUUGUAAUUAAAUGUUUAGUAUCGGAAUAAGAGUAGGUUGCUGUCAACUGUAUUACAAAGACAUAUAUUUGUCAUAUAUGACCCUAAUUGGACUGUAUUCCAAAGUUCCUGAAACGAUUUGUUAUUGUGCGUAGAUACCAUUUACUCUAGAUCCAAUGGAUUUUUACAACUUUAAAAUGCACUUACAUGAUUAAGAAAAACUCACUAGUUAUAUAGUAUCGAAAACUUAUUUUCUUACCCGAUAUGGGUUAUCACAAUUUCCUAUCAUGAACAGGCGGUCAAAUGUCCCCCGAGUCACCUGUGCUCGCAAGGUUUCUUCUUCCAUGGGUUUAGAGAUUAGAGAUAUGGUAAGAAGUGAACUUUUCGGAUGGUCAAACAGGGUAACUAAAGAUAUUUCAUCUAUAUAUAUGUGCUCUGAUGAAAAUUUUUCACAAUAAUUGAGGUCAUGGCUAGGUAUGUUAAACGCAUUGAUCAUCUCAUAAACUAACAUUUAGAAUGAGAACAUAAAUAUGGUUCAUUGUCAUUGAGGCUUUGCAGAUAUGAUUUCUUCAUUCGACCUGUGUUCAGAUGAGCACAAAGUAGAGCCUCACUGAUCACUCACACACAACGUCCGAAUAGAAACCUAUCGUCCUCCUUUGACAGUCUUUGACGUUGAGCAGUUCCACAUCAAACACUUCAAACUGUUUUGAGCUGAAAAAUGUCGAAGGCCCCACCUAUACAACACGACAAUUUAACUGAUAAAACACAAUUGAACAAAUAAAAAAGAAAAGAAAAAUAUGCAUACAAAGAAAAAUCAUGUAGAGUCUCUCUCUUUUGGAUAACCGAGGAAGCUUUCAUGACUGAGCCCUUGGACUUUCCAUGGAGACCUAAAUCUUGGGGUGCACACCAUUCCUGCUGUCACAACCAGCAUUGGAUAAUAUAGGGCGUUCAACCAGCCAGGAUUGUGCGCCUCUACCACCAUCCAGUCACUUUCUUGGAAUUUCAAUCCCUAUCACCAUCUUUGCAAGUUUCCUCAAUAAUAUUUAGUAGCAAUGAUGGUGUUUGGUGUUAGGCAUUUCAAUCUCUAGGAAAGAGCAGUUUGACUUGAGCUACAUGGAGAAGCAUAGGCAAGGUUUGCUUCAACUGAAUUGGGAGCUGAUUUGGAUGGUGACCAUAAUUGAAAUAAAACAUGAAAACUACCACAAUUCUUUAAAACUCAAUAAAAAAAUGUGUUCUUCUAAACCAAAGAGGCAGUUGGAAAAUAUUCUAAAUCUAGAAAAUAUCAUUCAGGUUAAAAAGAAAAACCGACAACAUGAAGUUUGUGAAAGCAACUGCUACUACCAUGGGAUUAAUUUUAUCACCAUGGGAGGAGCAACACAAGGGUGGAUGCAGAAAAGUUUAGGAAGAGAUGGAGCUACUAUUUCAAUUUAGUACCCCAGCUCUCAUGCACAACACUGAGACCAGAGGCUCCGGCACUGUUAGAAAAACAUCCUGACAGCCAUGUAGCAAUUAUGGGCUUUCCUCUGGAGGAUACGAAAUUUGUUUGAGAACUCAGAAUGAUUUUGAGUAAAUUUCUAAAACAUUUCUGUCAGAUUUGUACUGAAGAGGCAUGUCCCACGAAGAAGAAAAUGGACAUAUUCCAAAUUCAGUAUGUUCUCUAUGAUACAUGCUGAUGAAUUUCCGUAUCAGGCACAUUAUGCUUUACUAGAUUUGUGUCUUUUACUUUCUGUAUAGGACUUAGACUAGAACAAUUCAAGGACCAAAAAUGCAGUCUUCUUUCCUAAUAGAGGAUUAGAUAGACCUGCACAAGAAAGGGGAAGGGAAAAAUGAAAACAAAGAUUUGAUAAACUCACUGGAGGUCCAAGUUCUGGAGGGAUAAUUAUUCUUCUCUUUCCACCAGGUUUCAUGUCUCGAAUUCCUUCCUCAAAUCCUGCACAAAUUCACUGUUUCAGCUACUAACCGCUUUUACUUUAUGUUGGGUUAUGGAAAAUACUUCUAUUACUAUUAACAAAGAAAGCACAGACGAAUAUUGUAAUUCAUAUUUACCAGGAACUAGUGCAUUGGUGCCCAUCCGGAUUUUGGCAGGAGAACCCUGCAUAUAACUGCUGUCAAUACGGCGACCUGACUCAUUAUAGCCAACAUAGUGAAAUGUCACCUGCAGAGGAUUCAUGGGAACAACUUGAGGUUAAGGAGAAAUUUUCACAUACCAUUAUUUUUAAGAUAAGAUCAGUGCAAUAUGGAAAAAAAAAUAAAAAAUGAUAAAAAGUGGCAACAUCUUCAAUUGUUUUAUUGUUUCAUUAAUUACCUUUUCAAUUUUAUCAAUUUGUGGAAAAUUCUUAGCUUCUCCUAAUUAAAACAAUUAUUUGUUAUUUCCUUCAAAUGUUUAAACCUUAGAUGUAAUUUAUAACUUAGUUAUUAUAUCUUUUUGAAAGGUUGCUAGACCUUAUUGAACACGACUAAAAGAACCUCAAUCCCUAAUACAUUCACAUGUUUGAAUGCUGAAAAUAUGUUCUGCACUUUCUUCAUUAAUCAAUAGAGAACUGCAUCCUUUAUAUCUAGAGCAUGUUCAUGAAAUAAAAACAAAUUAGAAGCAAGACACUCAAAGCUGCUGACCAGGGUAGCUUCUGUUCUUAAGGAAAAACAAGGUGCACGAAAUGUCAAAUCCGCCAAUGUUUCAAAAAGCCUGCCAUGAUUUAGUUCUUGCUUUCUUGAUUCAAUAGAACAUGCUAAAGAGUUUCAGAUCGAUCUGAUUGAUGGAAACAAUGUUGUUAAAAUUCUCCGAGGAAGGAUAUCUGAAAUUCUAGAAUUUCAUUUCAAACUCCAAAAAGAAGCAGAUUCCACCUGCUUCCUUGGAGGAGUUGAAAGGUUAUGGAGACAGUAAAAUAUGCAGUCAAAUGAAUUAUUCAUCUUCUAAUUUUCCCCUGUAUGAAUGACAUCAGAAGUGAGACACUGCAAAUCAUUUUAGGGAUGGUUGCAUGAGCCUUCAUAAGUUAUGGCAGGCCCCUAUUUUGGCAUACGGUAGAGAUCAAGGGAAAGCUGGUUCAUAACAUUUUUCAAUCGAUAAAGGGUACAGCAAAUAGUUAGGGCAAGGAUUGUUGGUCCCUGUCAUUCCUAGCAUCCUAAUCAAGUAUCUCCAAAAACACCCUUAGUGAAGAGAAAGGCCAAAGGCUAGGGCUAGUAACCUUCACAUCUGACAUUUAUACAUGUGUACCAAUUUCUUCCUGGAAAUAUGUUGGAAUGACGAGUGGUCAUGUGAUAAGAGUCAUAGAGACAAGCUCGGUUUGUGGUAGCAUAUCAAAACAGCUCAUGGUCAAUGGAAAAAUUAUCCAUUUAAAAAAAAUCCACUAAAUAUGACAGGUGAUUGGACAUAGAAAAAUUUCAGUCAAAAAAUGGCUGUUCUGUUGUAUGUUGAACCCAAACUGCAGAACUUCACUAAUAGGCCAAAAGCCAUAGGAUUGAUGGAACAUGUCAAAUGAAACCCUGUUACUGUUACGGUCAUAGUAUAUCAUUGCUUUUCCACAACCUAAAAAUCCUUAGCAACUCUUUUUGUAACGGCCCACUCCCUCUUGAAUCGGUAUUAUCUACCUUGAUCUCUUCUCAUGUAAAUAAUGUUUGCUUGACUUCAAAAUGCAUCUAUACCAUUUCCACAUAAACACGACGUCUUUGUCGUGUCCCAUGGGAUUGUAUUGACAAUUAAAAUAUUCACACAAACUCCCACAUUGAGUCAAACAUUGACUCUGAUACCAUUUAUAACAAUUCACUCCUUCCCGUGUAAAUAUCAUUUACUCUAGCAUCGGGCUGCAUGACUUGAAAACAAGCCUACAUGGUUAAGAGGAUUCAUCUACAUAUAUAGUGCUAAAAACUUUUCUGCUGAGCUGAUGACUGAUAUGGGAUCUCACACUGUCAUUAGGUAGCUUUCAGUCAGACCAUGGAUAGCAUAUUUUCUCCUUUGGGACAACUCACUCUAUAAGCUCUCUCUUCUGGUGGCCAGAUAGCUUUUUUCUCUAUUUUUGUGAUGGCCCCCACCUUGCUCCAAGUGAUACCAUUCAUGCCGCAAACCAGAGACAUUAAACUUGCUUUUUACCAAAUAUUAAGAACCUUCACCAAAUAUCCUAUCUUCAAUGGGAAGCAUCAAAUCAAAGCCCUAUAAAAUGGAUUGCAAAAAACUGCUACAAGCAAAACAUUGGUCAGGAAAUUAUUUCCAUGUCUAUGAACAAGAAGCAAUGCCACAGUGGUUAUUUUCUCUUUUAUUUGUCAGUGUUUUGGCCAGCCAGUAAAAUAUUUUACAUCUAAAAUGUGGACUCACAGAUAAAUAAGGUGAUUGGAACAAGCUAUCAUAAGACAUAAGAUCUUCGUAAAGAGAUGCACCUCCCUUCUCUCUAUCUAUCAAGGGUUGAGGCCUUUAGCAUGCCCUCCAGUCAAGAUUGGGGCCAGUUUGCACAAUUUAGAUGAUGAUGUAAAGAAAAUUUUUCAUUGUCUUUUGCAGCAAAUCUAAGUGGUUUUAAGAUUUAUCAACAUCCAAUAAUAAUAAAGAGGAACAAAAGACCAAAGUUAAACACCUAAAACAUGAAUAUUACUAUUUUUUGUAUGUUUUCAAAGAAAAAAUAAUUUCAAUUUUACUACUGCAGGUGCAAUGCAUAAAGCAACAAUUCUAAUUCUAACAUUCAUUUUCCUGGUGUUCCAAGUUUACUUUUGCCAAAUCAUUAAGAUCCCCAUGAUAAAUUUCAAGAAAGGAAACUAUUGCCUUCAAAGAUAAUGAAAGAAAAACCUGUUGACCAGCCUUUGGGCAAUCACCUUUACCAACUUCAAAAUCUCGAUAUAUAAGCCCUGAGUCACUUGUUAUGUAGUUCUCUGGUGUCACCACCUUAACCUCAAAACCUGAAUCAUUAUCCCUACACAUUAUCAUUGGUUUCAUGGAGUUGUGAUGAAAGUUCAUCAAAUAGUUUCUAGACCUGCAACUAAGGUCCCCCAGAGAGAGAGGUACUGUGAAGAGUAAACUUUUAGUAAAGUUGCAAAGAGGCAAGACAAACCUUCUCGAACAAAAUUUGGGAAGUCUUCAGGUGCAUUAUUUUCCUUUUGUAUUCGCUUGUUUUGCUGUAGUAACCGUUUUUCGUCAUAUGGGUUCUUACUCUUUGUCUUUGCAGAAGAAGAUAAAGUUGGAAAACAGCCUGAUGAGACCAAAAAGAAGAUGAGAAGCCUCCGCCUCAAAUUCUCCUCAUAAGGCAAUACACAUCCUUUCUGUUCUCUACCCAUACAUGAGAAGAUGGUCAUAAGCAACAGUAUGCAAUCUAAAAAAUUUCCAGGACAUUAAACCGAUAAAGACAUGUUAAUGAAUUCAUCAAAGUUUUACCUGUAAUCUUUCAGGUUGUAGCUUGAGCGGCAAUGCAAUAUAGGCUUCUUCAGAGAAAAAAAGCUUCCAACUGUGCGACAAGCUGAAAGAUAUCUGUCUGCAAGUAAAAGCAUAAAUGCAUAUGUAAAAAAAAAGGGAGUAAAGAUCUGAACUAAAAAUCAUCCCCAUUUUGUUUCCUGACUUUUUUUUUCCAAUUUUGGGUUAGAAGAAAGGAGAACAAUCACCAAGAAGAUGAAGGAGACGAGAUUCCCAUAUGGUUUUCUCUUACUCCAUCUUCUCAGACACCAAAUAGAGCACCGGCGAAUGCGUGCAAAUAAUGCAGGCACAUAAUAACUCUUAAGGUGUGUUUGGCAUGUCAGAAUAGGGAUAGAAUAUGAUGGGAUGGGAGGGGAAUCAUAAAACAAUGUAUAAAGAGAGGAAUCAAGGAACUAGUGAGAGUAGGAUUUGAUUUUUACAACAAUGAAUUUGUUAUUCCUAUUCCCAUUAUCAAAAACAAUCCAAACACUUGAAUGAAUAACAUAUGGAAUUGAUUUUCCACUCUCAUUCUCCAUUCCAGCAUUCCAAACAUGACCUUAAGGUAAGUUAUCUCCACACAGGAUAAACAUCACACAGCUCAGAGUACAUGAUAUACAUUGUGAAUCCAAAUCCUAUAAGUCUAAGCUUUUAAGGAAAUUGAUAGUUUAAUAUGGUAUCAGAGCCUUGUUCAGUGUUUGAACCUCACCACCGUAAGUUUAUUUCCCCAAUAUAUUAAGUCUGCGUGUAAGCCCAAAAAUAGAGGGUACGCAUUAGAGAGAGGGUGAUAGAAUGCAUGAUAUAUAUUGUAAACCCAAAUCAAGAAAAUUGGUAGUUCAAUAGUUUAAUAAAACGAAAUCUGGGAAAAGGGCUCUUUGAUGAAUAAUCCAUACUGGAUUGUAUACCUAGUAUGCUCUAUUCCUGAAGUACUUCCACAUCAACGAUGCACAAUAACUGGGAUAGAUAUAAAUGAAAAGGUUUUCAAUUUUGUAUUGUUGCAAACAAGACAGUAGCAGUUCUCUAAAACAAUUUCCCAGAUUCAAUUCUUCCCAAUGAUUUGUUUGGAUGCCGAGAAAAUGGGAGAAAAGAAAAGAAAUUGAAAACGUCGAACCAUAUUCUUCCCUUGGAGCAGUAGAGGACAAAACCCUUCACUCAACUGAGCCCCCAAUACAACUGUUUGGCUCAGUAGAGAUGAGCUUCACUUCUUUUCGUGUUUUAAAACUAGAACGACUUAAACAUAAGAUUUCAUAAUUCUGUUUUCUUCUACAUUUUCCUUAGUUUCCAGGCACCCAAACAAUACCCAGAACAUAUUACUGAAAAAAAAAAUCCAAAAUAUAUGAUAGCAUUCUAAAGAGAAAAGAGAGGGAGAGAGAGAGAGUUUUACAUGGAAUAUAAGGCUGGGGUAGAAGAGGAUGUGUUGGCAACCAAAGCAUGGCUUCUUCAAACUUUCAGCAAAAAGAAAAAAUCCUUCUGUUUUCCUGACAACCAAACUGCUCCUCGCUGCGCUUUUCACUCUCUGUUAUCCGCACCCCUGAAGACAGGGGUAUUUCUGUCUUUUACUUGGAGAUAAAAUUUUCAGGGAAAAACAAAAUAAACAACGAAAAAUUAUUUUGGCGCAAAGUCAAUUAACACCAUAUGUAUAUAUAUAUAUAAACAAACAAAUGUUUACGGUAAAAAUCAUAAUAAUUUUAAAAGUUUUUAUUUAUUAAUAAUUUUUUAGAAUAAUUUUUAAAAAUUAUUUAAUGUUUUAUAAAACAAAAAUUUGUUUGAAAAUAUAAAAUUAUUUUAACAUUUUUAAAUAUAUUUUAAAAAUAAUUUUUUACGUCUACUAUUUUAUUUUUAAUCAUUUUACAUAUUUAUAUAAUUAUUUUUAAAACAAUUAUUAGAAAAUAAUUUAAAAUAAUAAAAAAAUGUUUUUUAAAAACACUUUAUCUUUAUAUAUAAUUUUUUUAUUACCAAAUAUAAUUUUUUAAUCUUUUAUUUUAAAAAAUAAAAAACUAUUCUUAAAAAUAAUAGACAGAUAAGACUCAUAUCUUUUAAACAUAUAUUCAAUUAUUUGAGUACACCUUUGAAUGAAAAAUAUUUUAUAAAAAUAACUACAUAAACAAUAUUUUUCACAAAUUAAUUAUUAGUUUGGACUAAUUAAAAAAAAUAAAAGUAACAGGAAAGAAUUCACUUUGAUAAUUUUUUUGAUAUGUCGAUUUUUUUAAAUAUAUUUUAAAAUUAUUAUUUUGUUUUAAUGAAAACCUCUAAGAGUUCUUAUAUCUUAUAUAAUUACUAAUAAUUUUUAUUUUAAAAACAGAAAAUAAAAAGUAUAUCUAAACAAACACAAAGUUGUUAAAAAUUCAAUAUUAUUACAUCUAAUUUUAAAAACAAUUCUCCUUGAGGACAAGAAAAUAGUCAAUGUGUGUCAAAAUAAAAACACGUGUAAGUUGAAGAAAGGAUGCUCAUGAAGGCUAGGGGGCGGAUGUUGGCCUCUAAAUUGCCCUCUCCUUCGACACGAUGACUCAUUAGUCAUCAUCCCCUUUCUAAUUAGUCAUGUUGUUUCUUAUAGAGGAAGAUACACAUGCCAUCCGACGGUCAUUUCCACUUGUCCACAGUGACCAAGGAGAUGUAACAAAUUGGUAAAAGCCUAAAACAUUAUUCAUACUGCAAUACUUGCACAAGUAGAAGGUGCCCACAAGAUGAUGUCAUUCAACAACCCCUAUGUUAUCCAUGAAGGGAGACUUUUGCUGGAGAUAGGGCCUCAAUGAAGGAGGUACCACCUUGACUUUGGGAGGAACCAUUGAGCCAACAGCCCUACAUGUCAUCCACAAGGUUAUCUCGAUACCAUUUACAAAGAAGAUUAUGUUGGGAUUGAGCCCUAUGGGCCCACCAUGGUUGGCAUUUAGCACUUCCUAAAGGAAGUUGGAAGGCCAGAAGCCCAAAACCGUGACUUCUCAAUCCACCAAUUCGAAAGUACUAAGCACCAACCAUGGUGGAUAAAAAAGGGACCUUUAAGGUUUGGUCUUGAGUUCGAUUCCUGGGACAUACCUCCCUUUUAGUGGAUUGAGGAGCCAUAGUUCUGAGACCAUGGUGGAUGCCACCAAUUGUUUAUUUGUCUUUUUAAAGGAGGCGUCCCUAGAAAUCGAAUUUAGGACCAAACCUUAAAGGUUCCUUUAAGUUCAAUCCUGGUACCAUCUGGGCCACUAGCUCAAAUGAUACCAGGAUUGAUGGCCCAAAUGGUACCAGGAUUGAAUGUAAAGAAACCUUUAAGGUUUGGUCCUGGGCCUCUGGCCUUUCCUUCGAAAGUGCUAAGAGCCCACCAUGGUGGGCCCAUAGGGCUCAAUCCCAACAUAUCAUUCAAGGAGUAAUUAGUGAAAAUUUUCUCAUUAUUAUCAUAUUUAAAUCAUUCAAGCUCAUGACAUUGCACACAUGAGGUCAAUCCAAUUGUCAUGUUUUAUUAAUGCCAUGUUUUGAUCAAUUAGGGCAAGUUUUGGAACGAAGCAAAAUAAAAGACGACUUAAACAUGACACUUUGGAAGGGUCAAAAACCUUAGAAGGAAAAUGACUUAACACUCCUUUGAUUCCCCUUCAAAAACUAUGAAAAAAAAAACAUGAGAAAAGCUAACUCGGUAGGCUGCCCACUAGGCUAGUCAAGCAAACACUCAGUUUGCUAGGCUAAGAGCCUAGCAGUCGAACGACCCAGUUUACAAUUUUUAGCCUUUUGUGCUUUUUCUCACUCUUUCAAGCCUAAAUAGUCUUUAUGCCCUCUCUAAACCUCUCUUUCUUCUGUCCUUACUCUCCCUCUCUUCCCAUAAUAAUUGGAGAUUUGAACUCCAACUACCAAAUCUCACUCCAACUACUUGAGAUUUUAUCCCAGUUUCUAUAUCAUCCCUGGUUGAUAUCCUUAGCUAUCUCUUUGAAAAUGGAAGGAAGCAGUCAUUGAGAUCUUGAAACUCUUCCAUGAAAAUAACAUUUUCAUUCAUAAUACAAUAUGCAUAAGCCUAGCAUUCUCUUGAAAUGCCAUAACUCCUUAUUAGACUCUUCCCAUGAAACAUCAUUAUUUGCUCUAAAAGCACUUUCAACAUCCAUUGAUGUGAAUUCAAAUGGAGAACACUCUCAAUAGGCAUCCACCUCUCAAAAAACCUCGAUUUCAGCCACUGAGCUUCCGAGCUUCUUCCUUGCCGUCUCCUGCCCUGCAUUGCACCAAAGCCAUGGGUGUUAGUUCCUGGAAGCAACAGCUUCACUCAGAAACAUGGAAGCAAGAUUUGGGUCACUGUACUGGAGUUACAGCUUGAGUCGUAUCCAUCAAGCUCUGAUUGUGUUACCAUGAUUAUAGAGUCACAGCUUGUGCCAUAUGACUCAUAUCCAUCAAGAUCUGACUCUGUUACUAUGUCAAUGGAGUCAUCAUCAAAGGCUACACCAUAUUGUUUUGAUGGGAAGAAUGGAGACUUUCUGACUCUGUUGUUAAUGCAGCCAGAACUUUUAGUUUUCUUCACUUUCUGCAGAUAGUAGUCUUGAACAGCCUGCAUUUUGUAAUCAACCAGAAGUGAGCUCAGAAAGAAAAAGUUACCCCAGUUUGGAUUGCAUCGGAUCGAAUUGCAAUUCAAGGUAGCACAAGAAUGAGAGUGAUCCCAGUUAGAAAACAUCAAAGGAAUCUGGCAAUAAACCAUCAGUUGCCAAGAAGAAGAAGAAGAAGAAACUGUACCAGGCAUAGAUUGUAAAUGGAUGAUAUUAUUUGCAGGAUUGUGUAUACCAUACUUAGCAUCAAUAGAUUCUCAAAAUCACAAAGGAAAAAGAUAAAUGAAUGGAAAAGAACAUGAUUAGAAGCAAAAGAACUUCUUGAGUUUGAAAACCAGAAGGCACCUUCCAUUGAGCCGAGGCUAAGACCACCCUUAGCACAAGAAUGAGAGUGAUCCCAGUUAGAAAACAUCAAAGGAAUCUGACAAUAAACUAUCAGUUGCCAAGAAGAAGAAGAAGAAGAAGAAGAAACUGUUCCAGGCAUAGAUUGUAAAUGGAUGAUAUUAUUUGCAGGAUUGUGUAUACCAUACUUAGCACCGACAGGUUCUCAAAAUCACAAAGGAAAAAGAUAUAUGAAUGGGAAAAGAACAUGAUUAGAAGCAAAAGAACUUCUUGAGGUUGAAAACCAAAAGGCACCUUCCACUGAGCCGAGGCUAGGACCACCCUUGGCCUGAUGGAUUUCACAUAGUUGUAUGCAGCAUCAGGUGUCAUCUGUUUGUGUUCCACCUGUUAAGAAUGUGGGGAAAAUCUCAGAUGAAGGCGGUAUCUGUACAAGGUAAUAAUCAACUUUCGAAUAAGGAUCACAGCUAGGAUGCAUACCAGGUAACAGAGAACAAUGGUUGUGCUGCGGCCCCGACCAGCCUUGCAAUGAACAUAUGUCAUUCUCCCAAGAGAUGCAUUACCUUCACAAAGCCCAGUAACAAAAGAAGAUAAAUUAAAAUGUUUUUCAAAAAUAAACAUACUAGAAGACUGAAGAUUUAAUCCACCACAAUGUAGUUGUAUGCCUAAGGACUUCAUUAACUUCUGAUAGAAUUCAUUGGGCAUUUAAAAACGCCGCUCUUUGGACUUUCUGGUGAAAUAGAGGCAGAAUCUAUCUGUAGGUUGAUAUAGUGAAGAUGCAGAGAGUGUAGAGGAACUAAAGCGCAUGACAUAUAUACUCAUGGUCGAUGUAUACAAGGUCCUAGAGGCUGAAACUCAUUUAGGAGGCUAUCCUCUAUAACCCGAGUCAUGCAUAGUACUCUAAGAGCAAAUAUUGACAAGUGAGUAGAAAAUUUUCUUAGAAUACUCACUAUAGAUGAAGUCUACAGCUCGGCAAGUAUCAUUGAGUGAUGGAGCAAAGAGAUAAUCUCUUGUGGGAAUCACCAAAUGGUCAAUGCUGUGAGCCUAUACAGAUAAUAAACAAUGGCAUUAAAAAAUGUAGUACAAUUAAAUUUUUGUCCUUAUUAACUAUUCAUUUAAACAUUUUUGUUGUGACAUUGGAAGAAGAUAAGGUAACAACAACUAUGAACUAAUUAAUCAUAUCAGAAAAGAUAAAGACUGAUGAAUGAACAACCAAGCAUUCUCACAUGAUAGAGCAAUGUCGGGACCAAAGUUUCAUAAGACUCGUUUAAAGUUACUACUCCACCAACCCCAAGUUUCUUUAGGCAAGGAACAUCAGCAGCAAAAGGCACGGCACCUAACAAUAUAAACUGUUGACUCACAAGUUAGCAUGGUACUGAAGAAAUGCUUGACUCAGCAAAAGGAAAUUUCUUACUUUCACAUUGGAUUCCUGAAAAAUAUCAAAAUACUAUAAGAAUGAAAUGCCUAAGCAACCAUGAAGGGCAGAUUUGAGUGUGCUUAUAAUGAUUGCCAGAAAAUCCAAAAAACUAAUAGUUUGAAAGGAAAACUAAAGGUAGGAACAUUCAGAUGCAGAAUAAAACCUACUGGUAUUGUGCUUUUGAAUUGGAUGGCAACUUCUAAAACCAAACCUCAAGACGAAAUUGGGAUUGAUUAUUGAGGGAAAGAAAAGAUAGAGGCUCUUUAAUGGUGAAAAUGAGAAACAUUUUUAUUUGAAAACCAUUUUCAGAAAUGUUAAAGCAUUGUUUCUGGUGACCAUUAAGAAGGUCCAAACACAAGAAGUUUUCGGUUGUUUUUCUUUCUCAAAAAGAAAGCAUUUUUGAAACAGUCAGUUUCAUUUUUCUCUGAAAAUCAGCCUCAAACCAUUCUCAAAAUGAAUACAGAAACUGGAAAAACAAGAGGAACAAAGCCAGACAAUUCAAGUACAGAAAAAAGGGAUUUGUAAGAGUUCACCUCAUCAACCCUAUCCCACCAAUGAAACUCAGGCUGAAUCUUGUUCCUAACAACAUUAUACAGCAAUGUUGGGUAAAAAAGAGCGCGAGCUCCUGCUCCUACCAAAGCCCUUUUGGCAUUUGCACCGACACCGCUGCUCUGAGAAAGGUCACAACACAAUUCCUCAUCCCACAUUUCCAACUCCCAGUCCUCCAAUUUCUCAGCAUUCAUCUCCCUCCUGUAAAUCCACACAAAAGUUCUUCCCUUCCCUCUCCAGUUCCGAUACAAUACCCCUAAAAUAGUGAAAAGGAAACUCACAAAAACCCAAGCAACUUUCAGUGCUAUCCAAUCCUACCUAACCUUUCAAUCCCAAACUUCAACACAACCCCACCAAACUCCUCAAUCCUCUACACCUCUACACAAUCCCACCAAUACUGAACCUAUCAAACCCUUCAAUCGUACACUUCAAUGCAAUCCCGCCAACCCCUUAAUCCAAAAUAAAAAUUGCAAACCCAUUAAUGAAAUGACUGAAAAAUGAAGUUCUGAUCUUGAACAAGAGAGUAUAUAUGGAGACAAGGCUGAAGGUGUAUCUCAGCUCACUUCCCUCUCUGCUGCUCUCUCUCUCUCUCUGGCUUUUGUUUUGGCAAAAAAGUUUUGUGCCAGGUAAGUUUGAAUCAAUACAAGUGUUGGGCCCCUGUCUCACCUAAAAGUUAUGUAUUUAGUGGGUUUGAGCGCUUGAAAAAAGCUUUGGCUAAAUCACACCACCUUACACCACCAUUUUGAUGAUAAUUGUUUAAGUGUAAACAACAUUUUUCUCUACGUUUUGUGCUUAGAAAUUUCCAAGACUCCUCCCAAAUUGUAGUUGGCUUAUUGGGUUUGAUGUGCUUAGAAGUGGACAAGACAGCUCACAACACACCUCUGAUGGGAUUGUAUGAAGACUUUAAAAAUGGAAGAUUUAAACACGUUGCAUAGCUGCCUCUGGUAAUGUAUAUGAUACAGAGCAACUGAUAUGGGAGGAAGGAAGCAAGAAGCUUCAUCUUUCAGAUUAUCUCCACACACAGGUACUCUCUCACUCAUGACCAAAACUGCAAUUUUGUCAUCAUUUCUUUAAUGGGUUUUAAGUUUUAUGGUAUAGGAUUGAAGGGUUUGGAGGGAUUGUGUUGAAUUGAAUUGAAAAUUCUCGGGUUUUUGUUUGCCUUUCUAUGGUUGGCCAUUGUGUUUGAGAAGAAGAUAGUGGAAUUUGUUGUUGCUGUAGUGGAAUAAGAUGGUGGGUCAUUGUCAGAGCAGUGGUGUUGGCUCAGAUGCUAAAACAGCAGGGGCUACAGCUCCUUUUUGGCAACAAGAUCAGCCCAAGCUCCAUUUUUGGGCUCUUUUCAUUUCUACGUUUAUUCUCUGUUACCUUGGAUCCACCAGAUCUUAGAGCCUUGAUUCAUUUACCAAGCUAUUCCAUUAUAAAAAGAUUUCUUAGCCUCUGCCCAGAAGCUGGUAUGCUUUAGUUUUCAACCUGAACAGGUUCUUUUGUGCUUUUCCCCAUAGCAUGAUAGUCUGUCAGUGUAGUUCAAUGCAGAAUCUGGCUACUCAUCUGGAUGCCUUCAGGGGUUUUGCUUGUACAUGUACGGCCACUAGGUUUAACAUUUGGGGAAGACAGCCCCUUUAUAUGUUGCUAAUUGAUUGAUCAAGAGAUAGAAUUAGAGCAUCUCCUGCUCGGGUAGAUGGGAUUAUGCUAAUUCUCUUUGACAGGUGAUGGAGAAGGGCACCCUUGGUUUCUAGAUUCAGUUUGAUGAGAUUUCCGGCUUCAAUUAUCGUUUUCUGAGUGAGUGUUGUGCUGCCAUGAGUUUGAAUGGUGCCAAUUCAAUGAAUAGGAAUCCAAUAUAAUUCCAGCUCAUGAAACUUUCUUUCAUAGCUCACCUCUGGUUGAUCACAAAAUGCAGGCUAUUCAUGAAGGCUGAGACCACCUUGAGAAAGUGAAUUAACUCUGCAGACCUGAAUCUGGCUUUCCUGGCGACUCUUGCCAAGAACUCCCAUGGCUUCAGUACCAUGCAGGGACUGUAUGGUUGGUAACAGAACAUCAGCAGGCUUGAAUCAGUAGCGGGUUUUGUUUGUUUUUCAGGCAGCUGUUGCCUGCAAUUUGCACCUGUUUCUCUGUUCAUGCAAGGGAAGGAGUUGAGGAAAAAGCUUGGAAGCUCUAUGGAAUGUGAAGAAUUGCGAAGUCUUGGAGCAGACAUCAGGAUUUAUUGAGAUGUUGAUGCCCCUAUGUUCAUUUUCAUACAGAAAAUAUACAUAACAAUCAAAGAAAAGUAUGACCCCUCUUUGGACCAUUUUGCCUCUUUCUAUUUCCUUUCAAAACCCGUUAUUUUCCUUCUCAUAUAUGUCAUUCUAACCAUUUCAGAAGCAUAUGGGGCUGAUGGACACCACCUGAAAAUGAAACCAUCCCUUUUCUUCUUUACAACACUUGACGGCACACAUGUAUACCAUGGAAUGUGAGCAUAAAAAGGAGGGCAUCAUCAAAUAUAACUUUUGAAAAACAACGGUCCAUCAUGAAAUAAUUUUGAACACUAAUACAGCAGAUGCUAUUUGACAAAACUUAAGUCUUCAAUGUAAUGAGAUAUUUAUGUACUCUCAUAAAUAUUGUCUUUAGCUUAUUCCCAAAGAGGAAAUCCUUGUAUGUUCUGCCAAGUAUAAAUAUGCAAAUAUAGAUCAUGCCAUGAUGAGGGUCACCAUGAAUUAUCUGAAACAUAAUUCAAAUGAAUAUGCAAGGCAAAAUAAAUAGAAGUUGUGACAAUGCCAUCACUAAGAAAAUGAAGAGAUGGCCACAAUGCUUCUCCAAUAGUCUUGUUGGAUGCACAAACAACAAACCCGCAACACAUCUAUGGAUUCAAAGUUACAAGGAAAAGUAGAAGAUAAAGCAGAGCGAAAAAAAUUUGGUGGAAACAUAUCUCAACUUCAUAUCGGUCUUCCUAGGAUUCACCAAUGGGGCAGCAAAGGGUUGUAAUUUACCUAGACGAGUUCCUAUAGACGUUUUUCCCAUGUGUGCCCUCUAAUCGAAGCCAUUUUCUGAAGCCUAAUCUGCUCCUUGAACUUGGCUAUAAACUCACCAGCCUUCUUGUCAACCUCAUGAGGGACAGGUUCUUCCUCACCAACAAUGUUGGAUGCAACUUCUUCAUCUGAGCUUGUUCGAAAGUUGUGAGCCUCACCCUCCAAAUCUUCUGACUCUUGCAUUUCUCCCUUUGGAUGUUUGGAGAAUGGCGGCUUUGUUACAUAAGAUGUAUUACCGAGUACUUUUGGUUUCAUGUCAGAUUUUUCCAUGGGUACUUCUUCAGCUUUGAUAUAAGUCUUCCCAACACUGUCAUCCAUUCGGUUUCCACCCUUCUCUGCCACUUUCCUUGCUUCUGAGGUAAGUUCACUUGCUCUAAAUGUUCUAACUGAUCUUCCCCUUGACAAAUGUUUAUUGGGAGGUCCAGGUUUCAUGGCAGACUUCAUAGAACCCAGCUGCCACUCUUUACUGUUCACUUGAUCCUCUCUUCUGCUCCUACUCAGCUCCUUCCUCUCGUCUUCAAAGCUUCUCUGUGCAUUCAUCUCAGAAGCAGAGUCAUUAAAAAAUUGGUGAGAUCUUGACAUAUCCAAUGGAGCUUUACCAUUCAUCUGUCCUGGUGGUGAUGGAGAAGUUGCAGUAGAUGACCCAUAAGGACUCUUCCUUCCCCCCAGUUCUUCCAUUUUCGAGUUCCCCAAUUCUGAAGAAGCAGAGGAGGAAGGAGAGAGUUUCCUAGGUGAAGAAGAGACAGAACUAGCUUGAGAUGAGUACGGAGUUGAGGACCGAAAGGACCGUGAUUGCAGCUGUUCAAACUCAGGUUCCUCAAAUGAGGGAGGCAUAGAAUGUGAAUGACUAUGAAAUGAAUCUGCUUCUUCUCUCAUUUCCAUCCUUCCAGAUCUUGAACGCCAUGGUAUAGGUGAAGGUAAGGCGACAGUGUCCUUCAACUGCUCCUCCAAUUUCAGAGGGCCCAACUUACCAAAUUUCCCAUUUCUAACUUUGCCUGAACUCUUAGAAGAACCAGUCUUGGAGCUUGAUUUAGACCUACUCCCGCUCACAGAUUCAGUAGAAUCAGUGUCUUUAAUUCUCGAUUUCAGGUUCCGAACGGGCAAUCCCAGUGGUUUAUCAUCAACGCUUGAUUCAGGUUUGCCCCAUUGAUCAAGGGCAUAGCUUCCUUUAGCAACUACAACCAUGGUUUCACCCCUGAAGUACUGAGAAUCCCAUGUUUGAAUCACCUUCUUCCUAUCAGACUCAAAUAGGUUUUCACACCCAUUUUCAAAAUUUGAAGAUCUGGGUCUGCCCCUUUUAUCAAGAACAGAGCUUCCACUGGUAACCACAACCAUGGAUUCACCUUGAAAGUGCUGAGAAUUCCAUGUCUGGAUCACACUCUUCUCACCAGACCCACAUGAAUUCUCAAACCCAUCUUCAAAAAUCGAUGAAACAUGCAAAAAUCUAGACGCAUAAGACUCUGAAUUAUCAACAGUGGAAUGACUCUCAAUGCCCCUAUCCACAUUUCUUCUACUGAACACCCCAUAAGACACGGCAAUGCCAAUGAAGAGAAGGUGGAGAAGUUCCCAGAACUUGGUGAUGAGAGUGUGGUUAAUGUACUCAGGAGCUUGUGAAGGAAACAGUGGAAUAACAACUAGAAACAGAGCAAAGAUGAGAGAUUUACAGAGGAAGUGAGUACAGGACUUACUUGGGGUUCUGUUUGGCCGAACUGGUAGUGAAAGCUCUGAAACAGCCAUUGAUGAAGAUGAGAAGUGCUUCCAAGAAUGGGUUUUGGGUGUAGAGAGAAUGAGUGGCGAAAUAGUCUUAUGGAGACGAAGAAAGGAAGACUUUGAAGCCAAGGAAGAGAGGAGAGAGAGAGAGAGGGGGGGGGGGGACAAAGAUGGAGCAGAUUUCAAAGGCUGAUUUAGUACCGUUUAAUAACGUGACCAACUUGUCUGCUCUUCAAUUUUUUUUCAGGAGUAAAUAAUUUUUGUUAACAUGAUAAAAAAAUAAAUAAAAAAACCUUGAAAUGUGAACAAAAGAAAUUAUUAAUUCUCUAUUUUUUUCCAAAAAAGAAAAAAAAAUCUCUCUUAAGCCUAUACAAUUUGUUAUAAUAAUAUUAAUUAUUUUUAUCCUAAAAUUUGAUUCUUUGUCAAAUAAAAUGAAAUAUUAUUUUUGAAUGAAAUUCUUAAAUUUUCAAAUUUUAAACUUAAUAAGUAUGUGUUUGGGUUUUUUUUUUAUUUUUUAAAUAAAAAAUCAUAAAAUAUCUUCUACAAAAAGUAUAGAUAUAGUGCAAAAUUUUUAAAAUUUAAGGUAUUAAUUUUUUUUUAAUAUCUCAAUUUUUUUAAACAAUUUUUUAAAUCAUUAAAAUUUCAAUAUAAACCUAUAAAAAUUCUUAUAUGUUAUACAAAAAUCAUUGUUAUUUUUUAAUUUUGAAAGCAGAAAAUAAGAAGUGUAUCCAAAUGGACAUUAAGACCAUAUUUGGUUCCCAAAAAGUACUAAAAAAAAUAUUAAAGAAAAUAAUUUUCUUAUAUUUGAUUUUACCAUAAAAAUACAAAAGAAAAUUAAAAUUAUUAAUAAAUUUUUAUAUUUUUAAAUAAAAAGAAUUAAAUAAGUGAAAAGAGCUUGAAGUAAUAUAUAAAAAUAAUAUAUUAAAUUUAAACCUAAUUUUUUAUUUUCUUUUAUUUUUUUAUUUCUUUUUACUUUUCUUUUCUAUUUCCUUCCCUUCAAAUUUCCAAGAACCAAAGAUAGCCUAAAUAAUUAUAUUAUAAUUAAACAUGAAAAAUUUAAGAAAAAAAACUACAAUUUUAUUUCUAUAUCCUUGAUAAAAAUAAAAAUGGAUGGUAAUUAUUUAUAAUAAUUUACAUAAUUAAGAAAAAUAAUUUAAGCCACACUUUUCUUCGUUUGCUUACAUUUUCUUCUUCUUCUUCUUCUUCUUCUUCUUUUUUUUUUUUUUUUUUUUUUGCAUCUUUUACUCUAUUCAAAUUGAAAAACAAUAGGCAUAUAAUCUUCGAUCUUAUCCCAUGACAAAGUUGUUAAACAACUUUAAUUGUAUCUUCAAUCUCACCCCAUGACAAAGUUGUUAAACAAACCACUUGCCUCCAUUCUUUUCUCUUAUUUAAUGAUGUCAAAAGCACUAUCACUUGUAAGUUAAGCUUAAUUCUUUCUUUCUUCAAUCUUAAACUUGCCAAAUGCUAAGCACUAAACAUUUCAUCAUUUGGAGAGUUAGCUUGAAUAGAAAUUGAAACUUAAGUUGGAGCUAUGAUUAAUAUGAAACAAUUUUUUUAAAAUUAAAAAAUAAUUAUUUUUCAUAGUAAGUGAUGUUAUUAUUACUCUUUUAAGUACUUGAGGGAUUUUCUUUAAUUAAAAGCAUUUUUAUUAAAAUAAAAAUUAUUGAGCUUUAAAAGAAAUUGACUUCUAAAAUUGUAAUGAAGCCUUGUUUGGGUGGGCUGUUCUAGAACUAUUUUUUUUUUUAAGAUCAAUAGUUGUUUCUUAUCAUGUUUAAGUGAUUUUGUUGAAAGAAUUUUCAUAAUAUAAAGAGUGCUCCUUUGAAAUUGUGACAUUUGUUUUUGGUUUCAAUUUUACCUUUUAGCUUAAGUCAAGAGUAAAAAGCAAUCCUAAACCAAACUUAGGUAUAAGUGAUUAUGACAUUUUCUAAGGGAGUGUUUGAUUAAAAAAAAAAAAAAAAAAAAAAAGCAAAGCGAAGGGUUGUUUGACAACAUUUUUUAAAAUAGUUCUAAAAGGAUGAUUUUUUAUAAUAAUUUCAAGGAAUAGUUUUCAAUUGUUUUCAUAAUCAAAAUUUUGUUUGGGAACCUAAUUAUGCAAAUAUAUAUAUAUAUAAAUUUUUAUGGCUUAUUAUCCAUGAAAGCAUUGUGCACUUAGGUAUAUGCAAAGUUCCCAAAGCAUUCUCUCUCUCUCUAUAUAUAUAUACCAUGACCAAGCCCUUAGGACUCUCCAUAAGGAUCCUCAGGGUACUCCCGCAAUAACCAACAUCAAGGUAAAUUCAGGGUAUCAUCAAUGACAGAAUUUAAAUUUAGGAUCAUGUGUCGCUUAUUGGGACCACACUUGCUAGUAUUCACCCUGAUCAAUCGGGCUACCCUAACGGGUAACCAAAGUAUUCUCUAUAUUUUGAAUUGUUUCUCAAAAUACUCCACAAGAAAAACAUAAAAACACCUCAAAAUUCUUUUUUAAAAAAAAAAAAAAACAACUUAUUUUCAAAACAAAUUCUUAAAAAGUUAUUUUUAGUUAAAAAAAAUUGUCAAAUAUAUUUUUUAAUUUAUAAAACUAUAUUAUGUUAUAAAAAGCAUAAAAUUAUUUUUGAGAAUAGUUCCAAACAUAUUUAACAAAUUGAUGGAGAGCCCCUUUUUAAAAUUUAUAAUUUGGUUUUGAAUCUCAAUUCAAAUAAAAAAAUGCAUAUGUAUCAAUGUGCCUCCAAUGAUCCAUAUCUCAGGUCAGCCACUGACAAGUACAUUAAACUAUUUGUGUGACUAAAAGCCUGCAUAUCCUAAAUAGAACAAUAAUCCAUAUCUCAAGAAAUGUGCUUAGCCACAAAGCUAGUAGUUGUCAUAUUGACCUCUUAUUAGGGCCCUUUAUGCCAAAAGCAAAAGAAACUCAUCCCUCUAUUUCCCUUUCCUAGGAGGCAUGUGGAUGUAACAAGACGAUCCUAUCAACUUGUUCUCACCUAAUGCGAAAAUCACAAAAAGUCAUUUUAAAUAGAAACUUGGCUACAAGAAAGUCAAAUUAACUAUAUAUAAUUAUGAUAUUUCCUUAGACUAAUUGCAUGAUUUUUUUUAGAGGUCAUCAAGACUGGUAAUUAGACAAUAAGUUGAUAUCUUAGAAUUAAAUCAAUGAUUUUUAUGAUAUGGAUUCUAUAUUCUUUUUUAGCUUGAAGAUUAGGCAUUUAACUACUAUGCAAUUAGCUUGAUGAUUUGUAUAAUUCAUAAAAUACUUUAUCUUAAGUUGAGAGCUUUGUAGUUUGAGUCUAUGUGGUUUAAUUUUUAUACUUUAAUGCAAAAAUUGAAAAUUUAUUUUAUUGAUUAAUUAAUUCAAUUUAGAUAUGUUUUCAAGAUUAAAAUCAAGUUCAAAAGGUGAUUUAUGUAUAUUAGGUUUUAAUGCCCUACAAACUCUCAAACAUUGCUCAUCGAGUGAAGAAUUAGAAAGGAGAAUGUUGGAUAGGAUGUCGGAGCACCACAUAAGUGGCAUCUAGGAUACUAUCCAGCUCUUUAGAUACUACAAUUGUUAUGAUAGAGUUCUUAAGAGCAUGACAUGAUGUAAUAAAUUUGAAAUUCAUUAUUUAUUUAAUGAUAUUCAAGUUUCACUUUUAUUUAUCCUUACUAUAGGUAUUACACUUUAUGAACAUUCUUGUCUAACAUCUCUUGGAUUGUACAUGACUUGGGUUUGUUAGAAGUUGCACAAAAAUCCAAGUUAUGGGUUCUUUACAAGUAAAUGACUUGUUCACAAUCAAUUCAUGAACUUAGGCAAUCCAUUAGAAGUUGUAGUGCACUAUCUCCUAAUUUGAAGGAUAGCUAGUUUUGGUCAAUGAGUUUCCCAUGGUGAGUGCACUAAUGUAUAUGAUUACAUAUUAAAUAGGACUUAGGAUGAGUCAUAACUUAAGGUUAUCAAAUAGUCAUAACCUCACCAAGCUUCUCCAUUGUAUUGUUUAUUAACCUUUAGAAAAUAUUGAGUUUAUGUUAAAGUUAGUAGUGAUUUUGACUUACAAGUGAGAUUGUAAGCUGAUCAUAUUUUAUCUAUGGAUUAUGUCACUAUUGAUGAAAACUAAUAGCAAUAGAUAUUUUCAAUAGAUACACCAUGAUAUCUUAUAAGAUUAAGACAAAGUGUCUCAUUUGGUGAUCAUAAAAAUGUGUGUUCAUGGUUACUAUAGUCAUAGUAGUUCCUUAAGUAAAACUUGACUUAAGUUUUUUGAUAGAUAAGACAUAUUAGUUAAACACACAAUAAGAUGAUCUAUAAUUCAAGAAUAAUAAAGAUAGUCUUGAAAGUUGAUAGUUUUCACCUUGUUAAACUACAAACACCAAUUUAUAGGGAGACUAAACACAAUGUAUAGUAGGUCAUAGACCCAAGCACAUAACGUCUCAUUAUUAUUUACAUAGGAUAUUAAAAUUCAGUUGAUUCUCUAUAAUGGGAUAUUGAAUCAACUUUAAAAUUGGGUUAUAAGGAAACCAAUACUCUUAUGGGUCUCAACGAUCCUCAUCAUUAAAAUAUUCAUUGUUGGAAUCAACUUCCUUCCUCUAAUGGGGAAAAAAUUGGCUCGUUAAAAUAAUAAUUUAUACAACAUGUCAUACUAUCUUAAAGGGUAUAAAUAAAAUAUUCAUUAGGUACAAACCUAUAGUUUUAUAAUAUACAUCUACAUGAUUUGUAAUGAGUUUACCAUAUCGGAUUGUUCUGAAUCUGAUAUAAUAUAAGGUGUCAUUUACAUGAAAUUGUAUGUCAUUAGUGACAUAAUUUUAUCUUUUCUAGAGCUUACAAUCAAGUUUACUGGAUAUAUGUUGACAUUAACUCUUAUGUGUUGUACAAUUAACGAGACAAAUGUCUUCAAAUCAAUUUAUCAAUUAUAUUUACGCAUUUAAAAAAUAUAACACAUGCAUGUAAUAAAUAUGUAAUUUAAUUUUUCCAAAUUUUUUCCAUAACAUGGAAUGUACAAUUUUAUAGAUUUCAACCUUCAUAACUAGUGAAGAGAAUAAUGAGGAUAAAAGCAAAUCGAAUUUGAAUCGUAGUAUAUUAAGAAUUUCAAUAAUUCGAUUCAAAAAUGAAAAACUUCAUAUAAUUCCUUUAUAACUUUCAGUAAUGAAAAUAUAUAAAAUUUAAAUAGCUUCAAACUAUGAGUUCUACGGAAAAAAAAAAAAAAAAAAACUAAACUAAACUAAAUAUUAUCAUAUACUUUUUUUUUUAUUUAUCAAAAACACUUUUUAAAUAAAAAACGCUUCUUAAAAUCAUUGUCAAAUAAACUCUAAACAAUUCGUUUGACAAUAAUAUUAGGAAACGUUUUAACCUUUUUAGCACUUGAAAUAACUCUUUUAACAAAAAAUUUUAAGUAUUAAAAAUGUUAGAAACAUAUUUUAAAAUAACGUCAAAUAAAUUCUAAGUCUUUUAUAUCCUACUUCAAUUAUGAAAUCAUCCAUGGAAGUAUUUUUCUUCUUCCUUAGAAAAUAGCACGAGAGGAAAUUAAAAGGGAAGCUUUUUUAACUUUAGGAUUGUGCUAAAGAAAAUAGCAUAUCAUGUUGAUAACGUGUUGUCAAAUAAACUAAUUUAAAAAAUAAACCAAAAAAAAUGAAAACCUUAGAAAAAUAGGAUAUUAUUUCAUUAUCGAGUUUUUAUUUUUUAUUAUUAUUAUUAUUAUUAUUAUUAUUAUUAUAUAUAUAAAGAGAAAAAUAUUUACAUCAAUAUUGAUUAUCAUUUAUAAGUUUUCACAAUAAAUCAAAAUUUUAUAUUUAUAACUUUUUUAAGAUUAUAAAAUAAAUUUUCACUUUUUAUGUUAUUAUAUUUUUUUUCUCACAGGAGUGGGGUGUAUUUGAGAAUUGUUUUUUAAAAUAGUUUUCUAUUUUUCGGAACAAAAACACGUUUCGUAACUAAAAAUUAUUUUAUAUUUUUUAUUUUUAAAAACAAAAAAAUAAUGUUUUUAAAUAACAUCUUUUAAUUGUUUUUUUAUUAUUUUCACUUUGUUUUUUAAAAACUAUUUUAAAAAAUAAUUAUAUAAAAUGUAGAAUAAUUAAAAAUAAAAAAAUUAAAUAUAAAAAUUAUUUUUAAAACAUAUUUUAAAAAAUAAAAAAAUAGAUUUUUAAAUAGAUUUUUAUUUUUUUAAAAUUGGGAAUAAUUUAAAAAAAACAGUAGCAAACAGCCCCUCUAUUUCUCAAAAUAAAAAAUAUGAUGCGGAAUUAAAAUUAAAACCACCUCGUUUGAGAGGUUUUGACCUCCACUUGCUAAAUAAUAUUUUCUCAGCAUUCUCGCGCGAGAAAAUCGUAGUACUUGCCUGAGAAAAUGGCAGGAACGAAGGAAUUCGUGGAAGCGGACAAUGCAGAAGCCAUCAUAACCAGAAUCGAACACAAAUCUAGGAAAAUCGAGAGCUUACUCAAACAGUAAUUAACCCUAAUCUCUCUCAUUUUUUCGUUUUCUCCCACACUAAUUUGAUUCAUCCCUACUUUUGCAGGCAUAAACCUAUCGAAGCUCUCAAAACUGCUCUCGAAGGUUCGCCUCCCAAUACAAGAGACGAGCGAUGCAAGGUAUCCGUCUUUUUUUCUUUUUGUGCAUUCUGUUUGGUUGCUGAGAAAAGUAGGGAAGAGAAAAAGGAAGUACAAUGUAAAAUGUUUUUUUUUUUUUUUUUUUGUGGUGUUUUGGCUUAAUUAACGGGAAUAGUUGUAUUAGGACUCGGUUGGAGUAUUGAGGAUUAGUUUUCUCGCGUCCUGAACAAUGACAAAUCUUGGAUUCGGAACUGUGGUUUCUUUGUGCUUCCUGUAUUUUCUUUGCAGCCAAACAGAACUAUAAAUCUCUUUCUCAGAUUUGUUUUAUUAUAGAAAUGAAGAGAAAUUGAUUGAAGGUUAUUGCAGUCUGCUAAUUGGAUAGUGGUGCAUAGAGCUAUGAUGGCAAUAAAAGAUGUGGAUUCAUUGUUCUCUUCUUUGGAUCCUGAGUACUAUGAUAUCCUCAUGAAGUAAGUUAAACCUUUGUAUUCGUCACUUCUUUACAAUUCUGAUUUUUAGGAGAAUUAUCUUUUUCUUAUCUUGUUCAAUCAAGCAUGAAUAUUAAUUGAUUUUGCUAUUAAAUUUUCCUUUCUGACCACAAAUAUAUUGAAGUUUUACUACUGUUUGAAAAAUUAUGAUAUCUAUCGAUGUUGUGCUCAUCUGUUCAUUGCAAUGAUUUUAGAUAUAUUUCUUUUCUUUUUAUUAUUUUUUCCCAACAUACUUUGAAGUUGCUUCUAAACUUUCCUUUUGAGUAGAAAUGAUGGUCAAUGUUAAAUUAAUAAAUUGUAAUGCCAUUUGAUUUUUUUUUUCCCUGAGGGCAUAUGCGUGACACCCCUAAAAUUAAAAAUUUUCAGAGAGUGUGAAGAGUGAUAAAUAACUAAUCAAUCUAAUUUUUAUGUAUCCUAGAAUUACAAAUAAUUAGGUGACACAUUUGAUGCACAUAAGUUGUUGACCCUGAUAAUUAUGACAUGCUGAUAAUAAUAAUUCAUAACACUCAACUUAAAUCAUGUGGAUGAAAAUUUUGGUAGAGUAGAUUAAUACAGCACUUGUGGAAAGUUUAUAACUUCUUGUCCUUUUUUUUUCUCUUGAUAUUUUAAAGCACAACAUAGAUAGUUAAAGUACAGUGCAAUUUCUAUACUAGAUUUAACAAAUAUAGCUUCCAAAAAUUAUUAGAAUUUCAAAAUUCAACAUGUGACCUUCCCACACCAUUUUAGAUACUCAACUCUGAAUGCUGUCUACAGAUAAAAAUCCCAAAAUUUAAAGUAAAGUUGUUUUCGGUAAUAUAAUUUGAUUCAGGAGAAUUGGUGGAUGUUUACUUUACUAGAAGCUUGCUGAUAAACUUCUUUUGUCUUAGAUUAGCGUCAAAAUGGAAAAAAAAUUAUGCUGUCUCUCUCUUUUGUCUAGCUGAUCAACUAGUCCAUCUAAUUUUGUAUGUAGCUGGAUUUUGAACUUCGUCCAGUUGCCAUAGUAUGGCUAGAAUACUCACAAGCACUUUCAGAGUCCCCAUGAUCAACCAACCCACAGAAAUAGUAGUUUUGACAGCCCAUUACAGAUUUGCUUCUCCUUUGAAGCUUCAACUAUGAUGUUCUUCAAAAAAAGGCUUUUAUUUUUGGAUCAUUCCAUGGUGCUCUCCUUAGUCAUCUUUUGCUGGAGUUGUCCUAGAGCUAGUUAAUUUUACUCCCUAGAUCUCUUCCAAACCUUGAGUUGUAGUAAAUAAUGUUUUGGUCUAGUCAAAAUAAGUUUAAUCAUAAUUUUCAAUAUUAUUUUAUGACUUUGGUUGUUUCUAAUGAUGAUGUAGUCUUUCACAAAUUUGAAUGCCUCCCAAUAUUCUAGAUUGAUUAGAAAUUUGGAUGAAGACAUUCUUUGGGAUUAUCCUUGUGUGAAAGGAAUUCUCCAAUCUGUUGAGUGUUGAUUUUUCCUAAAGGUUGACUAUGUGGAGUGAUGAGGAUGAAUCUUCAAGAUAUAUAUCAAGAAAGGGUAUUAAUAUUAGUUGUAAUUAAAGUAGGAUUAAUAUUACUUAAAAUUAAAUUAGGAUUAAUAUUUAUUGGAGUCUAAUUAGAAUUAGCUAGUUGAGUUAUAAUAUAAUUAGAAUUUGAGUCAUGAUAGGUUAUUAGAGUCCUAGUAGACUUUGGAUGUUGUAAUUAGAAUUAGAAUUAUAAUAGGUUAUUAGAAUCCUAGUAGACUUUGGAUUUUUUAGAAAAACCUAUUAAUAGGCUAAUCAAUGUAAAUCAAAGGGAUGAAUUGGUAUGAAUAAUAUUAUAUUUUCUUUCAUUGCAAGGUUGCAACCCUCAAUGGUGAGAUUCCAUUGAUUUUCUUCUAGGUGAGACUCCUAGAAGGUCUUAGUGAGACUCUUAGAAGGUCUUAGUGAGACUCUAAGGUUUUCCAUAUUUUCUUCAUUGUUUCUUCUUUCUCUCUAUUUCUUAUCUUAUAAUUUUAUCUACCAUAAAAUUUAUUCUUUGUUUCUCUCCUUACACCCUAAAAAAUAAAUCCUAGUCCACCUACCCUUGAGUGUAGGCAACCAUCCUAGGGUUGUCCUACAUCAAUUUUGGUAUUAGAGCGAAAAUUCUUGGCAUGAAGGCAUAUGUAAUUGAGGAGUGGAGCAACGUAUGCAAUGGUUGAAGGCUACAACUUUUUUAUGCAGCCAUUGGUGAACAUACCAAGGCUAAAUGAAGAGGAGGAUUGGCGACGUACUAGCAUCUUCCAAAUUCGUGUUGCUUGUUAAGGGAGACUAUGUACUUUGAUUAUUGAUGGAGGUAGUUGUUCCAAUCUAGCUUUAGAGGAGCUUGUUGAGAAGCUUAAUCUAAAGACAAAAGAUCAUCCAAAUCCCUAUCAAAUAGCAUGGGUAAAUGACACAUCUAUUUUGGUGAGUUCUCGUUGUCUAGUGACGUUUAAUUUCAGUAAUAAUUUUGAGUUAUCAGCAUGGUGUGAUGUUUUGCCAAUGAAAGUUGCCCAUAUUAUGCUUGGAAGACCAUGACUUUUUGAUGAAAGGGUCCAACAUGAUGGAUAUGAGAACACUUACACACUUGUGCGCAAUGGGCGUAAGAAGAUCUUUUGUCCAAUGAAGGAAAUUCCACCACAUAAGCAACUAGAGGAAAAAUUAGCACCCUUAAAACUAGAAGAGCCAUCAAAUAUUCUUACUAAAAAGCAAGUCGAAGUUACUAGAAAGGAGAAAGAAAUCAUCAAUGAUAAAUCUAGAAAGCAAGAGGUGAUGAAACUAAUCUUAGAUCAACCAAUAGAAGAACUCAAAGAAGUUGAAGAAGAAUCGAUGAUUGACUUCCCAAGGCCAAACAUUAUCAUGAGUGGUGGCAAACAUGAAGAAUCUGUUGAAAUUUCUUUUGAAUAUAGGGAAUUCAAGAAUCUUAUUCUUCCACAAAACAAUUUACAAGAAGAGUGUGGGAAACAACUUUCCACAAGCUUGUUGAAGACAUAUAAUUAUUUCAAGAAUUAUCAACUUGUUGUACAACAUCAAAAAGUUUUUUGAAGUCCAGUAUUUGUCUUACAUGAAAUUGAACAAGUUCAAGAGAUCUUGAGAUCCUAUCUUACCAUGGGAAAGAGACGACGAAGAAAGAAAUGGUGGAAGGCAUUGCUUAGAAUUUCAAUUGAUCAUGAGAAAUCACUAAAACUCAAGAUUGAGUUUUUUUCAAGUCAGGGGGAAUUGAUGAGGAUGAAUCUUCAAGAUAUAUAUCAAGAAAGGGAAUUAGUAUUAGUUGUAAUUAAAGUAGGAUUAAUAUUACUUAGAAUUAAAUUAUGAUUAAUAUUUGUUGGAGUCUAAUUAGGAUUAGCUAGUUGAGUUAUAAUAUAAUUAGAAUUUGAGUCAUGAUAGGUUAUUAGAGUCCUAGUAGACUUUGAAUGUUAUAAUUAAAAUUAGAAUUAUAAUAGGUUAUUAGAGUCCUAGUAGACUUUGGAUUUUUUAGAGAAACCUAUAAAUAGGUUAAUCAAUGUAAAUCAAAGGGAUGAAUUGAUAUGAAUAAUAUUAUAUUUUCUUUCAUUGCAAGAUUGCAACCCUCAAUGGUGAUAUUCCAUUGAUUUUCUUCUAGAUGAGACUCCUAGAAGGUCUUAGUGAGACUCUAAGGUUUUCCAUAUUUUCUUCAUUGUUUCUUCUUUCUCUCUAUUUCUUAUCUUAUAAAUUUAUCUACCAUAAAAUUUAUUCUUUGUUCCUCUCCUUACACCCUAAAAAAUAAACCCUAGUCCACCUACCCUUGAGUGUAAGCAACCAUCCUAGGGUUGUCCUACAUCAUGGAGUUUGUUUUCUAAAAGAGGAUAUCCAAGGGCAUGUGUGACUAUUUAAUUUUAUUACCAUUCUUUUGCUUUUUCAGGCCUUGUAUACCUCCUGGGCUAGGGUUUUUAUUUUUAGGGUAUAAGGAAAGGAACAAUGAAUAAAUUUUAUAGUAGAGAAAAAUAAAAUAAAAAAUAAAGAGAAAGAAGAUAGGAUGAAGAAAAGAUGGAAAUCUUCAAGUCUCAUUAAGGCCUUCUAGGAGUGUCACCUAGAAGAAAAUCAAUGGAGUCUCACUAUUGAGGAUUGCAAUACUUGCAAUAAAAAAAGAAAAAAAACAUAAUAUUAUUAACAUCAAUCAAUUCAUUCAUUUGAUUUACAUUGAUUAGCCUUAUUCAUAGACUUCUCUAAGAAAUCCAAAGUCUACUAGAAUUCUAAUAACUUAUUAUGACUCUAAUUCUAAUUGUCUUAUAACCUAAUUGGCUAUAAUCUAACUACAACAAAUACUAAUCCUACUUUAAUUUCAACUAAUAUUAAUUCUCAUUUAAUUCCAAAUAAUAUUAAUCUUACUUAAAGUUUAUUUAUGUCUUUACUUUUCUUUCUUGAAUAGACUUUAAAAGAUUUUCCCCCAUCAAUCUCCCCUAGCUUGAAAGAACUCAGCUCUGACGAGUUAAAAGCUUGAUACAAUUCAUAGUGAUCGGGGUUAAGCUUUUGAAAAUUUGUGGUUAUAUAAUCCAUGUAUUUUUAGAGUGUGGUUUGCCUCGCCAUUUCACCAAAAAAUUUUGGUAUCCACCUUGUUGAGUGGACAUAGUUUGAUCUUCAAGAGCAUACUCGAUCUCAAGACGUGGGCUAAGAUUGGUGGCAACUAAAGAUCCAAUUCUUCACUUACCUCGCUUUGAUGACCAUGGUAGACAAACAAAUCUUACACAUUAAAUAUUCGACUAAAAUGCAAUUAUGAAGAAAGCUCUGAAAAAUGCGCAUUCUCACCCAAUCACUUUAGCACCCAAAAUAAACCCAUUUUCUUAGUUUGAAGCUUGUGAUAUGUGCUCGAAUGAAAUCUUUUUGGACAUAGACGAACCAUUACUAAAUCACCUUCUUGAAAUUGGAUAUAUCUUUGAUGUGCUUUUAUUGCCUCCUAAUGGUUCUCAUUGUUGAUUUUGAUUUUUUUUUUGUACCUUUUCAAAUUGACACAUAGUAAGCACCUUUUUUUGGUUGUCUCCCCUGGCUUCUUCAUUGACUAGAUUUCUUUCAUUAGACAAAUGAUCUUCUUACACCCCUUAUGUAUGAGAGUAUAUGCAUUUUCAUAGCCGUCAUAUUGAACUCUUCUAUCAAAAAGCUAAGAUCUUCCAAGUAAAAUAUGAUUUACUUUUAUUGGUAAGACCUCACACCAUAUAAGUUCUUGAAAGUCCCUACCAGAAAGGAAAGUGACCAAACAAUAGGAACUUACUGAAAUAGAGGUGUCAUUAACCCAUGCUACUCAAAAUGGAUUUGGAUGUUUCUCUAUUUUAAGGUUUAGCUUCUCAACAAGCUCUUGCGAAACUAUGUUCAUAUUGCUACCUCCAUUAAUAAUCAUGGUGCAUAACCUCCCUUGGCAAGAAAUACAUGUCUGGAAAAUGCUAGUACAUUGCCAAUCUUCUUCUCCUUUUACCUUUGGGAUAGUUAAUAAAGGUUGCACCAUAAGACUAUGACUUUGCGUCAUACUAUCAUAGUAAUUACAUUCUUCGCUAAGUUCAUCUUCAUUGUAGGUCUCUUCUUCCUUUGGAUAACUUUCCAAUUUAGAUUCAGAUUUUUCAACACAAAUGUGUAAACCUUUUCUUGGGCAUACAACAACAUAAUGACCAUGCCCACCACACUUAAAAGCAUAAAGGAGUCACGUCUACUUUUCUAUCACCAAUACUUAUUGAAGUUUUACCCUUAAAUAUUUCAUCAAAAGCUUACAGCGGCUUGCCAAACAAAGGCUAAGAGAAAAAAGAGCACAGGUAUGACCGACAUAACAUCUACAAUUGGAUUCAAAAAGGCAUAGGCUUCGGGCAAUUUGGCGAAGAAAAAAUUACUCGAAUAAAGGGUAGAAUUAAGAUAGAUACAAAUCAAACUAAAGAUAUUAAGCAUAACAAACAUUUUGUUACCAUCCUUAUUAGCUACAUUUGAAGUUUGUUGAUUGUUGCCCCCACCAUUCGCAUGAUUAGAAGUUUUGAAGCUUGAUGUGCUUAAAGGUCUACUUGUUGUCCGAUUGGAGAAAGUGCUCCUAAUUUGUGAACUUUUGGAAACCCGAAACCUGAGGCCUUCUUCUAUUUGGAGGGCUAGUUGAUAAAUAUCAUUUACGGUAUAAGAGUGUGUAGCUAUCAUCUCAAGUUGAAGUCUAGCUUUAUAACGGGCUGCAAGUUGAGCAUCGCUUUCCCGCACUUGAUUUUGAAUGCUCAAUUCAUGGAAUUCUUUUGUAUAUUCUUCAAUGGACUUAGUGCCUUGUUUAUGGGAAAACAAUUUUAUGUACAUGAGUUGUUCAUAUUCAAUUGGGAGAAAGUGUUUUUUCAUCUUCAACUUCAUCUCAUCUUAUAUGUCUAUAGGUGGUUGACCAAUUCUAUGAAUUUGAUUCUCAAUAUUAUGUCACCACAAAUGUGCUGCUCCUUUCAACUUUGCCUUCACAAAACAAACUUUUUUAUUUUCGGGUAUUGCAUACCAACCAAAGUAAUCUUCCACAACAUGAUCCAAUCAAGAAAAGAUGUUGGAUUUAAUUUUCCAUAAAAUUCGGCAACUUCAAGGUGUACCUUUUUUGUCACAUCGUCAUCUUGUUCAAAGAGUUUGCUCCUUCUAUGAUUCCCCAUCAUAAAAUUGCCUUCUCUGCUUGUCUAAAUUGAUGCUUAUAGUCUCAUCUUCAUUCUAAUAACUUUGUGAUCUCAUCAAGUUUGCUAUUUAGUUGUAUUAUAGAAUCGUGAUGAGAUUGUUGUGACUGAAAUUUCCUCCAAGCGUUUGUAGUGGCAUCUUGAUUGUGAUAAGUAUUUUUAGAACUCAUGCCUGCAUAAGUUACUCCGUUCCUCAAUCACAUAUGCCUUCAAUCCAAGAACUUUUGCUCUGAUACCAAAACUGAUGUAAGACAACCUUAGGAUGGUUGUCUACACUCAAAUUGGUUGACUAGGGUUUUUAUUUUUAGGGUGUAAGGAGAGGAACAAGGAAUAAAGUUAUGGUAGAGAAAAAAAAAAUUAAAAAAAAAUAGAGAGAGAAGAUAUGAUGAAGAAAAGAUGGAAACCUUAAAGUCUCACCUAGAAGAAAAUCAAUGAAAUCUCACCAUUGAGGAUUGCUAUACUUGCAAUAAAAAAAGAAAAAGAAAAAAACAUAAUAUCAUUAACAUCAAUCAAUUCAUUCCUUUGAUUUACCUUGAUUAACUUUAUUUAUAGGUUUCUCUAUGAAAUCCAUAGUCUACUAGGAUUCUAAUACCCUAUUAUGACUCUAAUUCUAAUUGUCUUAUAACCUGAUUAGCUAAUCCUAUUCCAACUAAUUCUAAUUUAAUUCCAAAAUUAUAUUAAUCCUACUUAAAGUUUAUUUAUACCUUUCCUUUUUUUUUCUUGAAUAGACUUUAAAAGACUUUCCCCCAUCAUCUUAAUUGCCUCUCAUUUCUGUUAUACUGUUACAACUUAAUGUCAUAUAAUUACUAUCCAAACACUAAGAAAUGUUGCCCAAUAAUGCCUUUUGAGUUUUUUCUACAAAUCCUCUUAGCCUUGAGUGAUACGAGCUAUUCAUCAUUGUUAGCUGCCAAGACAAGCUACACUAAUUUAAGUGUUUUUUUUUUUUUUUUUGGUAGUCUAGACAAGACACUGUAAUUGAUGACAUGCAUUUCAGGCCCCUGAUUUCCAUUUUCUAGGACACCAUGCACCUACCACUGUAGAGCACCACCUCGUUUCCUUACUUGAAAGUGAAAUUCUUUUUUUCUCAAUUAUCUCAGGUGGAACUAAUUUGGGUUCUUAUGGCAUAACACUAUUUCUAAUUGGCCUUAACCAGCAUUUUUGUGAUGAUCCUUCCCUUCCUAUCACAAACUAUACCCUUGAUGAUCCAGUUAAUAUAUUUGUUGUUGAACCUGGGGACCUCAUGGACACAUUUGGAUCCAGUGAAGCUGAAUUGCCACCCCACCUUGGUCAGCAUGGGGUUAACCCAAUCAUAUAUGGAGUACUAGCUAACGAUUUCCUGAAUGGUGAACUGUUGUGCCUGAUUGAUUGAAUUACUAACUGCUUAUGAAGUAUUCCCCUUCUUCUUACCUAUUUGUCUAUGGCAUCCAUACCCAAGCAAUGAUAAUGAUUACUAAGAUGGAAAAUGAGGGGAGUUUCAUUGGCCAACCUUCAUAUGAGAUGGAACAUAAGGGAAGUUUAAUUAAUCAACCGUUGUCUAGCAGCUUGCUUCAUCAUUCUGACAUACACUUUCAUUGUCAUACCUCGAUCAGCCUUCUAGUUAAGAUCAAGUGUUACGUAUAUUUUAAUUUACUUUUCUUGUUGUUCCAUGGAAAAGGAUUCUUAGUUAAGGUAUAACAUUGACUAGAUAAUUGGUUUCAUAGGGAUUAGUUAUAUUUGUUUCACAUUCCUACUUUUUCACACCUAGAAUGGAUGUGGUCGUUUAACCCUCCUAAUAUGCCUUUGUGCUUGCACCUUUUGAGCUUUGAGAGGUUGAUUCCCAAGUAUAUAGCCACUGACUCUAAGAUUCUUGAAGAAUACUGUAGAAAUCUGACUCAGCUAAUUUGCAAAGUUACCUCAGAAAUCAUGUGUAAUUUGCAAUUUUAAGUUGUCAAGUUGUGGCCUUCCUAUGACAGAAUUGAUGCCUUGAAAAAGAUCUCUGUAUGCUCUUCUUGACAUGUUAUUUGGAGCAUUCACCUUUAGUAGCCAAGGUAAAUAAGAAUGGGGAUAGAAGAUCCUUGCCUGAAUUCUCAAGAAUUUUUUGAAAAGUCCUGAAUGAUUGUCAUUAGUAAACAUAUGCAGAAUGUCGAAUUUGUAUUUAUCACUUCAACCCAAAUCGCAUCCUGAGAAGUACCAAUCAUAAGAGUGGUUAUAAUGCACCCAUGGAUAUCUUUACUUGCCUGUGAUUUAUCCUCAAAUGGUAUUGGAAUUGUUUUCAUCUGAAGCACAUCAUGUACUAGUGUAAUUGUAUAUUGCAAAAUUUGAUUGUGUUGAAUUCAAAACUUCAAUAAUCAAACAAUCAUUUAUGUGUGAUUUUUUGGAGUGGGUUAAAUUGUACAUAAAAAUACAUAAAUUUUUGUGUAUCUUCCAUUUUGUGUUGCCUUUAGUGUCUUUAUAUAUCUCAUGCAUGCUCUUUGUGCACCCUUUUGUUAGGCAAUGUUAAUAUAUUGAAUCUUUGCCUAUCAUAAAUAAAUAAAUAAGGCAUAAUCUUGAAGAUUACAAUGGAAAUCAUAUAUUCAUAAAUUGCUUUUAUAUUUCACAAUUAAUGUUCUUGUUAGUAGGAGGAUGCUUGUUUUUGUUUUCCCUUUUGCCUUUGGGCAUACUUAGGUUGCACCCCCUCUUUUGUUAGUGCAUGGAUGCACUUGAUCCUGUCUUUUCCUAUUUCUGAAUUUAUAGUUUAUCUAUUAAUUACAACUUAAGCCCGUAAUUUGACUAUUUAUAAAGAACAAAAGGCUUGGUGGCCUAUAAAAGAAUAUUAUUUCCUUUUACUACAGGACUAAAAACAUAUUCUGUUUUGUUUUUUUUUGCCUGCCAAAAUUUGUAAUAUAUAUUUUUUGUAAUUUUAAUAUUAGCUAUGUCAUUUUUUCUUCUUCCUCAAAAAUGGAGGUUCUUCUCUUUACUUUGUGUAUAGAUGGAUGGGCAAGCAAUUGACAACUUGAGAUUGUUAUUACAAUUUGCAGGUACUUGUAUAGAGGAUUGUCUACUGGAGAUCGUCCCACAUGCGACCAAUGCCUGAGGAUUCAUGAAAAGCUGACAGAGAGAGCUGGUUUAGGCUGCAUACUGCGUUCCCUUGCAGAUACUGUGAAUACAGUUUGAUUUCUUCUAUCCUUGCAUCCUAAGAGAAGAUCUCUAGAUAAGAAAUUGUAUGUUUGUCAUUUUCUGUUAUUCUAUUACAGAUGUAUGUCAAAGAAAUAAUGCACCUUAAAACAUUAAUCUUUUAAAUGAAUCUGCAGUAGAUAUCAUAUUAUUGUUUUAAAAGCUCAAUUUUCUUGAAGGAUUUCACAGUACAAUAUGCUUUCCCAUGUUUCAUAUUUUCUUAAAGAAUCAAUGAAAGCAAUAGGAAAUUGAAGACAAGUAGAUGUGCAUCCCCAUGGUGUAUUUUGAUGCAUUUGGAAAGAAAGGAAGAGACCUUUUGAUUAAAGUCCAUGGUAAACAAAGUAUUUUUUUUUCCCUUUAGAUUCAUGUUGGUAGUGUUGGGGGUGGAUUGUUUUUCUUGGAUUUUCUGUGCUCUCUUCAUCUUUAAUUUGAAUCUUGUUUGUUUUGUCAUUUUAUACUUUCUGUCUACAUUUGGCUCUUACCUUUUUUUUUUUUU
rnacentral:lncRNA from 1 species